CUGAAGUCUAAGCUCUAUUCUCCCCCACCUUUCAUUUUACUAUGAACUUUUGACCCCUUGCAACACACCCGGCUCUUCACAGGGCCCCACCGGGUGACUGACAGCUGCGGGGGGAAAUUAUGGCGCGCGGGGUGGAGAUCGGUUGGAGGCAAAGCUUCAGGGAUCAUCCAGCAGCACGCAGAGGGAGAAGGUUAUACUCCCUCCAGUGCAAACUACCAAGGCCUUUACCAGGGAUUGGAGUCUCUUGACACCGGUGCUGUUUGAAACCGGGUCUCAGGAUGGAACUUCUCAGGAACACGAGCCGCGGAGGCGAGAAGUUCUCCACAGGAGUAACAGCGCACAUGGCAGGACACAAGGCUGCGGUGUUUAUUCUACGCAUGCAUGUGCAAAUGACAAAUAAAACAAUCCCAUAUUAUAAGGAA